rnacentral:lncRNA from 1 species
CUUCUGCCUCAGCCACCCGAAUAGUAGCUGAGACUACAGGUGCAUGCCAUCAUGCCUCGCUAAUUUUCGUAUUUUUAGUAGAGACGGAGUUUCACCAUGUUGGCCGGGCUACUCUCAAACAUCUGACCUCAAGUGAUCCACCCACCUCGGCCUCCAAAAGUGAUGGGAUUACAGGUGUGAGCCACUGCACCCGGCCUGGAACUCUUCCAUGAAGGGGAAGAAAAAGAUAAAACCAAACACAGCCCAGAAAUUCUGGCAUACAAAUCAGAAAAGAACUACUUCUUAGCCACCUGUGCCAGGUAGGUGGGUGGAUUAUAGAUUUAAAUCCAGCAGAAUGUGGUCCAAACUGGUUCUACAGACAAUGAAGUGGUUCUUUGUUUGGGGGACCUGCCAGGCCAGGUUAAAGUUGGAGACAGGCUCUUCUAGGGUUGGUAGGCUCCCAGAAGUGUUGGGAUUACACAACCCCUCACUGGAUGUACAGGCAGAACUGGCAGGCUC